UACGGAGGGUGCAAGCGUUAAUCGGAGUUACUGGGCGUAAAGGGCGUGUAGGCGGAUCGGUAAGUCUACUCUGAAAGCUCCUGGCUAAACUGGGAGAGGCGAGUGGAGACUGUCGGUCUAGAGUGAGGAAGAGGAAAGUGGAAUUCCGCGUGUAGUGGUGAAAUGCGUAGAGAUGGCGGAGGAACACCAGUGGCGAAAGCGGCUUUCUGGUCCUUAACUGACGGCUG
rnacentral:rRNA from 1 species